rnacentral:rRNA from 1 species
AAUGAACGCUGGCGGCAGGCCUAACACAUGCAAGUCGAGCGAGCAUAUCGGUGCUAGCGCCUGACGGGUGAGUAACGCGUGGGAACGUGCCCUUUUCUGCGGAACAGUCCUGGGAAACUGGGGGUAAUACCGCAAACGUCCCUAUGAGGACAGAUCUAUUCGAGAAGGAAGGGCCCGCGUUGGAUGAGGUUGUUGGUCGGGUGUUGGCCCACCAAGCCGACGAGACGUAGCGGGAAUGUGAGGAUUAUCAGCCACACUGGGACUGGGACACGGCGCAGACUCCUGCGGGAGGCGGCAGUGGCGGAUCUUAGACAAUCGGGGCAACGCAGAUGGCGCCAUGCCGCGAGAGUGAUGUAGGCCUGAGGGUAGUAAAGAACGUUCAGCUGGGAAGAUAAUGACGGUACCAGCAGAAGAAGCCCCGGCUAACUCCGUG